rnacentral:rRNA from 1 species
UACGUAGGGUGCGAGCGUUAAUCGGAAUUACUGGGCGUAAAGCGUGCGCAGGCGGUUUUGUAAGCCAGAUGUGAAAUCCCCGGGCUUAACCUGGGAAUGGCAUUUGGGACUGCAAGGCUGGAGUGUGGCAGAGGAGACUGGAAUUCCUGGUGUAGCAGUGAAAUGCGUAGAUAUCAGGAGGAAUACCGAUGGCGAAGGCAGGUCUCUGGGCUGACACUGACGCUCAUGCACGAAGGCGUGGGGAGCAAACAGG